rnacentral:rRNA from 1 species
UGGGGAAUUUUGGACAACGGGGGAAACCCUGAUCCAGCCAUCCCGCGUGUGCGAUGAAGGCCUUCGGGUUGUAAAGCACUUUUGGCAGGAAAGAAACGUCAUGGGUUAAUACCCCGUGAAACUGACGGUACCUGCAGAAUAAGCACCGGCUAACUACGUGCCAGCAGCCGCGGUAAUACGUAGGGUGCAAGCGUUAAUCGGAAUUACUGGGCGUAAAGCGUGCGCAGGCGGUUCGGAAAGAAAGAUGUGAAAUCCCAGAGCUCAACUUUGGAACUGCAUUUUUAACUACCGGGCUAGAGUGUGUCAGAGGGAGGUGGAAUUCCGCGUGUAGCAGUGAAAUGCGUAGAUAUGCGGAGGAACACCGGUGGCGAAGGCAGCCUCCUGGGAUAACACUGACGCUCAUGCACGAAAGCGUGGGGAGCAAACAGG